rnacentral:rRNA from 1 species
UACGUAGGUGACAAGCGUUGUCCGGAUUUACUGGGCGUAAGGAGCGCGCAGGCGGUCGAUCAAGUCGAGUGUGAAAGCCCCCGGCUCAACUGGGGAGGGUCAUUCGAUACUGGUGGGCUCGAAUCCGGGAGAGGGAUGCGGAAUUCCAGGUGUAGCGGUGAAAUGCGUAGAUAUCUGGAGGAACACCGGUGGCGAAGGCGGCAUCCUGGACCGGUAUUGACGCUGAGGCGCGAAAGCGUGGGGAGCGAACAGG